GGUAUCUGCAUAAUUCCAUUGUUCUUCGGGGCCCUUCCCUCCUUAAAAUGAUGGAUCGCCCGGUAAUAAGAAUGCUUUCGCCUUUAUCACCACCCCUCGCGCCUCCUUCAGCGCUCCUUUUACUGCCAGGGCCAGUGGCAGAGGAGCCAGUCGGUCGCUCAUUGGCUUUCGGGUACCCAGCAGCUCCCAGCCAUUCUGGUUUUAAAAUAUUGGGAGCUCUUUGAUUGUAACCAUCGGGGUUUGUCGAUUAGAGGAGGGACGGGUUGUGUUUUAAUUGUUCAGAAACAACAGUAUCCUGAGGAGCCCCAGCCAAGGGAGUCUCCCCUGAGCAAAGAUGACCCAGCUGGUGAAAAUUAAGGAGCGGACUCGGCAAUAAAACCAGGAGGUGGCCUUCCAGAUGGGUUAUCUUCUUCUUUGCCUAACCUUGGAGCCAAAUGCAGAAGUCAAAAAUUAAUUAAUAAUUAAUUAAUAAGUGCCUAGACUAAUGUUUCAGCAAAUGAUCAUUACGAGCUGCAGGCUUGAUCCCUCCUCUCUGUACGUAGCGCCUGCUGCUGUGGUGCUCACUGUGAUGCACAUUCACAGAUCAGAGCCCAGAGUACACCAGCCCGGGAGGAAGAGUCAGUUGGAAAACAGAAACCCAGCAUUUUUAUUUUCUACACAACCACAAAGUGCGGCGAAGGUGCUGUGAUGGAGUCAGGCACCACAAACAGAUGCCUCUCCAGACUGAGGGAGCGGGAAAACGCUUGGCCCUUCCCUUGGUACGUGAUGGUUGUGUUUUACUUGACUUUAAAUUACUUGAAUGAAGCUUUGUCUGUUUAUCAAAGUGAUCUGAAGCUACAGUUGGAAAGCUCAAGGAUGUGGCUAUGCAGUCCCUAUGCCAUGGAUAUUUAGAAAUAUUGAGUUAUCAAGGAUGCAAAUUUUUAUUCUAACACCAAUGAAAAGGCCUUAUGAAUUUUCUUCAUUAAAAAACAAGGUUGCAUGUAAUCUUUGUAGGAUAAAGCAG
rnacentral:lncRNA from 1 species